UAAGUAAUUUAGGAAAUAUUGGUUUCAAUGAGAACAUUACUUUAUGGGAAGUAAUCUACAUUUGUAGUAAAUUCAUCAAGGAACUAGUAUAUGUGAGAAGGUCCUGGCAUGGAUUAUCAGUGAUUAUCAGCUUCUCAACAGUGUUCGCCUGGCUGUAAAUAUGGUUCUCUCUCCAUAGUCAAUGAUUUAAUGAGAACAUGUAGUCAAAUGGAAAAAGCCUGAGAUUUUAAGAAGCCUAAGCUACCCCUCAUCUGUUGUGUGACCCUGGGUGAAUUAUUUAACCUCAUUGGGUCUAAAAAAAUGGUAACAACUGCAGGUUAAUUGUAAUGAUUAAAUGAAGUCUAAAAAAUUCUUUAAGAGCAGGGACUUUGCUUUGUUCACUGUUAUAUUCUCAGUAAGUAUGACAUGUGAACAGUGUGUAUCCAGUAUUUAUUCAAUAAAAUAAAUACUUGUUGAAUGAAUGAAUAAUGUGUGUAAAAUACAUAGACCAGUCCAUGGCACAGUGUAGGCACUCAAUAAAUGAUAUCUAUAGGCUAGCUAUUAGCAAAUUAACUACAUAGCUUUAGUUAUACAGAACACUUGGAGAUUUAAGGGCAUAUAGUAGAUUCUAGCUGACUUCAAUUGUUUGUUUUUUAUUGGAUAGAACUGAAGAUGUUUUACUGAGUUUAUAGAUCAGAAUUUUAAAUGUAGAGUUAGAAAAUAUUUUUAUUUGCUUUUCCCUUGAUGACAAGAACCAUUCAACACUGAAACUAUAGCUGUGGUUAAAAUAGAAGCUGCAGUACAUUUUUGUUAAGAGUAAUGUCAAAAUACAAUUUCCUUUGGUUUUUCUAUGAAUUUGAUGGUAGAACUACAAAUUAAUGGUCCUGAUGCUUUUAACUGAGUUGAUAACCCACGGUGUCCUCACAUAGUGCUACCACAGCAGAAUCCAGAUGUAGCAGUUAUCCAGUUACAACACCUUGUAGACAGAUCUUUGCUGAUGUGUUCAAUGGUUACCAGCACAGCGUUGGCCAUAUUUACCUCUAGACACAGAAGAGUUAACAGCAGAAGAACUGGAAUUGAAAUAUCUUAACUCUAGUCACAGGGCUACAGUAAGUAAACAUAUGAUGUUAAAUUAUUUGACUCAGUUCCUGAUCUAUUAAAUGUGGAUAGAAAGUACAAGCUUUAUCCAUAUUUUAAUGUAAUUUAGAAAGGACAAGUACUUAUUUACCCAGGGAUGCUUUGGUUUCAAGCAACAAAAUAACAUCUAAAGUUUGUUUAAAUAAAGGGAGAGUUUUAAUAAGAUAACAGACAUAUCUCGUGAAACCAAAGAUGAGAUGUGUCACUAAGGUGUGAAUGAGGUUUUGGAACAGAGAACUAGAAAGCCCUCAGAAACCAUAGCUCCUUAAUCAACUGCCUCUUCUCUGCACCACUUGUGUUCUUUAUGUUGCUUUGUGUUUCUAAUUCAUUUUCUUGGUUUUCCCCAUAGAUUGGCUCUAUUGUUUGGCUUUUUAUCACACCAAGUCUUCAGUUGGUAGUCUUAGCCACUAAUCUAGCAACUUGACAGGUAGAGUGCCCUCAGAAAAUCAGUUCAAUCUCUCUGUGUUUUAACAGCAAAUUCCCAGAAAAGAGAAUCUCAGAGACCUUGCUUGGAUUAGGUGUCCCCUCUGGUCCAAUCAGCCAUGGCUCAGCUAGCCUACGAAGAAGAAAGCAACACAGUAUUUUUCCGUCCCCCACCUUUCCCUCAAGAACUCAGUUAUCCAAAUAACACGACCUUUACCUGUGUAUCACUUAUGAGAAAUCACUGGCAAUUGAAGAAAAAGAACAAAAAAAGCAGUUUUAGGAUGAGACAUCAUCAAAGAUCACAUUUAAAGCAUCAUUCUUAGAAUCCAAGCAAAACUGUAUUUUUAAAAUGAGUAACAUUUUUCUGGACUUCCAUUUUCAUCUCUAAAAUAAGACUAAGAGUGUCUGGCUAAAUGUAAAGAAGAGAAUUCAAUAUAUGUGUAAAACCAAGAUACCUAGCAGAGAAUAUGCAAAUAAAUUUAAGGUUCUGCAUCUGUCCGUAUAAGAAAUAUAACACCUACUGAAUUUGAUAGCAGAGGUGAGUAAAAUUAAUUCCCAUAAUACAGUCUUUACAAACACUUGUAACAUACCAACCCAGUAAAGUUAGCUUUGAGACUCUAUGACAUAAAUCACAAGAUCCUUUUUGCCCCACCUCCUAGAGAAAUGGAAAUAAAAACAAAAAUAAACAAAUGGGACCUAAUGAAACUUAAAAGCUUUUGCGCAGCAAAGGAAACCAUGAUGAAAACAAGAUGAAAAGACAACCCUCAGAAUGGGAGAAAAUAUUUGCAAACAAAGCAACUGACAAAGGAUUAAUCUCCAAAAUAUACAAGCAGCUUAUGCAGCUCAAUAUCAAAAAAACAAACAACCCAAUCCAAAAAUGGGUGGAAGACCUAAACAGACAUUUCUCCAAAGAAGAUAUACAGAUUGCCAACAAACACAUGAAAGAAUGCUCAACAUCACUAAUCACUAGAGAAAUGCAAAUCAAAACCACAAUGAGGUAUCACCUCACAUCUGUCAGAAUGGCCAUCAUCAAAAAAUCUACAAACAAUAAAUGCUGGAGAGGGUGUGGAGAAAAGGGAACCCUCUUGCACUAUAGGUGGAAAUGUAAAUUGAUACAGUCACUAUGGAGAACAGUAUGGAGGUUCCUUAAAAAACUAAAAAUGGAACUACCAUACGACCCAGCAAUCCCACUACUGGGCAUAUACCCUGAGAAAACCAUAAUUCAAAAAGAGACAUGUACUACAAUGUUCAUGGCAGCACUAUUUACAAUAGCCAGGACACGGAAGCAACCUAAGUGUCUAUCAACAGAUGAAUGGAUAAAGAAGAUGUGGCACAUAUAUACAAUGGAUAUUACUCCGCCAUAAAAAGGAACGAAAUUGAGUUAUUUGUAGUGAGGUGGCUAGACCUAGAGUCUGUCACACAGACUGAAGUAAGUCAGAAAGAGAAAAACAAAUACUGUAUGCUAAGACAUAUAUAUGGAAUCUAAAAAAAAUGGUUCUGAAGAAACUAGGGGCAGGACAGGAAUAAAGAUGCAGACAUAGAGAAUGGACUUGAGGACACGGGGAGGGGGAAGGGUAAACUGGGACGAAAUGAGAGAGUGGCAUGGACAUAUAAACACUACCAUAUGUAAAAUAGAUAGCUAGUGGGAAGCAACCGCAUAGUGCAGGGAGAUCAGCUGGGUGCUUUGUGACCACCUAGAGGGGUGGGAUAGGGAGGGUGGGAGAGAGAUGCAACAGGGAGUGGAUAUGGGAAUAUAUAUAUACACAUAGCUGAUUCACUUUGUUAUACAGCAGAAACUAACACAACAUUGUAAAAACAAUUAUACUCCAAUAAAGAUGUUAAAAAAUUUA